GAUGAACGCUAGCGGCAGGCCUAACACAUGCAAGUCGAGGGGCAGCACGAUUGAGCUUGCUUAAUUGGUGGCGACCGGCGCACGGGUGCGUAACGCGUAUGCAACCUACCCUGUACUGAG
rnacentral:rRNA from 1 species